UAACCGUAUUUUUACAGCAUCCAUCUAAUCUGAGGUGUUGAUCUCUCCAGACCCCCCAGAGCUACAAUACUCCCUUUGGGUGCUUCUGUGAUUGAUGCUCAGUUCAGGUGGACGGCCAUGUUUUGAUAUCAGUAAAGCCUCACCUUUUAUUUCCCCCAUUAUUCUGGCAAGCCAUCUAAGAGUAGUGUCAACUGUUUCUGGCUGAAAACAAGCUGUGUUAAAGUCAACGUCAUCUCUUUGAAGGAGUAUUAGAGGAAAAUUAAAAAAAAAAAAAAAAAAAAAAAGGCAAACAUAAUUUGCUGUCAGCUGCUGCUGCAGUCAAAAACAUAUUUUCCUCCCAUUGGUCUCUGCACUCUCACUCAGCUGCUGAGUCCAAACAUCCUGAAUACAGUGGCAGAGUGACUCACCAGACUGGAGCUGUCCGAGGAGGCUGCCAGCGACGGAAUACAUCACACAUAUCAACACUGCGGCCCACAGCUGGCACCUGAGAAGACGGUGUUUUAGCACUGCACCCUGCUGUUCAGCGCGGGUACUGCAACACCACCAACAUAGGUCUUCAGCACCAUCUGGUGAGCCCUCAGGGAACAGGAGGAGAAGACAACAGUUCAAGUUGUUGCAAGAUGAAACUCAGCACUGGGACAAAAGACAAUCGGUUCAAGCUGUGUCAUGUCUAGGGGAGAAGGAACAGGUGGUGAAGGGAAGAACGGAGGGUGAGAGGAUGGCUAGACGACAGGAAGAUUAGAAAAAAAGGUCGACUUCUCAGACACUUAACAAUUCGGAGCUUUCUGUAGCAGUGUGUGAACUCUGUGACCUCAUCUAGCAGUCAGUGUGUUACAGGGGGAUGAAACAGAGGCCUUGUCUGACCAAUAAAAGCUCCGCGACUGGACAACAAACCCUAACCGUUUGGAGGCAGGGCUACAUCCAACAGGACUACAUUAAAAUAUACUUGUGUAUCAGAAUGGUCCAGUCAAAGCCCAAUUCAAAAUUUAACUGGAAUUCUAAGGCAAGAUAUAAAAAAACUAAUGUUCACAGAUACACUUUUCCAAUAACAUUCAAGUACUUUUAAUGUAAGGUUUCAAACUUUUUCAGCACCACAAGUUUGGACAUAAAAAACCCCACAAAACAUCAAUUUCAAUAAUGCUGUUUAACAUGCAAAAUAUAAGACCACCUUUAUUUCUAAUAUUAUGCAGAUCAAUAAGUUACUGUACCAAAAGGAAUAAUAAAUCUUUAAUAUAGUGAAACAAUCCAAAAAGGUAAUACAAAUGUGAAUUACCUUCCUUCUCAAAUGACACUUAACACAAUUUACAAAGAAAUUUACAAAAACAAACAAAAAAAAAAUCUCUAAAAAAUAUUUUUCCAGGUUUUCUGGCAUUUAGCAAAUAGAAAUAAUUUUGCUGAUUCCAACUGAUGUAAAGCAAGAAGCUCUUUUCUAAUUUAACUUCAGACAGCGAGAAACGAAAUGUGUUUUCAUUGGUGAAUGAAAACAUCUGGUUUCAGCUCUAAAUACUGUAUUCCAAAUUUAGGAUUUUAAUCAGACGUCACAUUGCACUUUGAUUUUCAAACUGCACAGUUUUGUAAUAAACUCUUUAAAGGACUUUAUCCAGGAAUCAAGUAAAUUCCAAACCUUGAAAACACCAACUGAAAUUGUGUAAAUUGAAUGUGAAGAGCAAUUUCUGCAGGAUUUCAUUUAAGUUUUUGUCUGAAAAACGACAGUGAGAC